rnacentral:rRNA from 1 species
GACGAACGCUGGCGGCGUGCUUAACACAUGCAAGUCGAGCGAGGCCCGCCCUUCGGGGCGGUGUCCUAGCGGCGAACGGGUGAGUAACACGUGGGCAACCUGCCCCCGGCCCUGGGAUAACUCCAAGAAAUUGGGGCUAAUACCGGAUAUGACCGCUGAUCGCAUGGUCUGGUGGUGGAAAGCUUUAUCGGCUGGGGAUGGGCCCGCGGCCUAUCAGCUUGUUGGUGGGGUCGUGGCCUACCAAGGCGACGACGGGUAGCCGGCAUGAAAGGGUGACCGGCCACACUGGGGCUGGGACAGGGCCCAGACUCCUACGGGAGGCAGCAGUGGGGAAUAUGGCGCAGUGGGCGAAAGCCUGUCGCAGCGACGCGGCGUGGGGGAUGACGGCCUGCGGGUUGUAAACCUCUUUCAGCAGGGACGAAGCGCAAGUGACGGUACCGGCAGAAGAAGCACCGGCCAACUACGUGCCAGCAGCCGCCGUAACAC